rnacentral:lncRNA from 1 species
AAAAAGGAAAUAAAUUUUCACGAGCAACAUCUCCUAACUUCAAUAUCCAGAGAGAAAUUAAGAAAAUAAGAGGAAAGAUGAAAGCCUAACAAGAUUUAAGAAGAAAGUUUUCCAUUAUUCAUUUAAUUCACUUUUAGCUGACCAAGUGUUCCUGUUGAAUAGAAAGCAUCGAGAAAAUGAAGAGAUCUAAAUGCCAGCAGGAGACGAGCUGCAUUCUUCUAGGCAUGUCCUGAGCCUAGUCACCCAGAACAACUUGUGAUCCCUGGACAAAGCCGUUCACAGCAGGUGGCUUAAAUGUUUUUACUUUUUCGAUUGUCAUUAGAAAAUAAACUGAAGGCAGA